CUGUGUGAAAUUAGACCUUCUGAAUCCAACUUUUCCCAGCCACCUUUUUUUUUUUAAGCAUAAUCUGCAUACCUGAUUCUUCCUAGAUGUGGGACGAGAACUUGGGAGCCACCAAAUGGCAGAACUAAAACAGCUGUAACACAAACAGGUCUGAAACAUGACCAUGCUUGCCUCAUUGCCAGCAAUGCGAAAGAGAGAAGAGAGAAGGAGCGAAGAACUGUGGCCCUUCAGAGAGCCCAAACCCAGGAGCUCCCCAAGGCAGGCCUAUGACACCCUCUUUGGGGCUCUGCAGUUCCUGGCAUUGCCAGGCUUCUGGACACCACCAGGUUCCCAGUGCUCACAGUGGAAACACAGUGCUCACAGUAUGCCUGGUCCAGCCACAGCCUCACAGGCAGUCAGCGCCUAUGCUGGUGCUGCCACAGCCAGUACACCUGGCUAUGCACAGUGGCCAGACCCUGUGCUCACUCAGACACCCCUUGCCACUCCACGCCUCGCUUAUCCUUCACAGACGUGGGAUCCAGGCCAGUAGCAUGAGCCAAGCACAGCCUGAUGGGCUGAGUGGGCAGAAUGAGCCCAGCAGCCCAAGCAAAACUCAGGCAAAGGUGCCACUGGACACAGGGGAUUCUGGCUGGAGAAGGAAUACCCUAAGGAUCCCGUGACAAUAAUAUUUUAUGUUCUUUCUUAGAGUCUCUUAGAAAAUAUUAUCUUGUAUUCAGGCACUAUUUUACAAUGUUUUAAAAGUUCCAAU
ensembl:lncRNA novel transcript